rnacentral:rRNA from 1 species
CCAGAUAGCCAUAUCACCCUAAAACUCACAACAGGCAACCCGCUGAAACUAAGCAGGUGUGAGCCUGGUCAGUACCUGGAUGGAAGACCUCCUGGGAAAAUCUGAGGUUGUUGCUGGA